rnacentral:rRNA from 1 species
UACGGAGGGUGCAAGCAUUAAUCGGAUUUAUUGGGCGUAAAGGGCGCGUAGGCUGGUUUGUAAGUCAGGUGGGAAAUCCCGGGGCUCAACCCCGGAACAGCAUUUGAAACUGCAUACCUGGAGGGUAGGCGGAGAAAACGGAAUUCCACAAGUAGCGGUGAAAUGCGUAGAUAUGUGGAAGAACACCGGUGGCGAAGGCGGUUUUCUAGCUUAUUCCUGACGCUGAGGCGCGAAAGCAAGGGGAUCAAACAGG